GCAGGAGGAGCAGGAGGAGGAGGAGGAGAAGGAGGAAGAGGAGGAGGAAGAGGAAAGAAGGAUGAAGGAAGAUUGAAGAAGCAAACAUCAAGGCCGCUUUAUAUUUCAUGAGAUCGAGACAAUACUUUUCUCAGUCACCCACAUCCUACUCCGCUCCUGGGCUGAGGGCAGAGUGAACGAUUGUUCUCCGCUAUGAGUGAAACAGAUUGUGUUCAGAUAUAGA